GCUAUACUGCAAGUCGAGCGAAUGGAUUGAGAGCUUGCUCUCAAGAAGUUAGCGGCGGACGGGUGAGUAACACGUGGGUAACCUGCCCAUAAGACUGGGAUAACUCCGGGAAACCGGGGCUAAUACCGGAUAACAUUUUGAACUGCAUGGUUCGAAAUUGAAAGGCGGCUUCGGCUGUCACUUAUGGAUGGACCCGCGUCGCAUUAGCUAGUUGGUGAGGUAACGGCUCACCAAGGCAACGAUGCGUAGCCGACCUGAGAGGGUGAUCGGCCACACUGGGACUGAGACACGGCCCAGACUCCUACGGGAGGCAGCAGUAGGGAAUCUUCCGCAAUGGACGAAAGUCUGACGGAGCAACGCCGCGUGAGUGAUGAAGGCUUUCGGGUCGUAAAACUCUGUUGUUAGGGAAGAACAAGUGCUAGUUGAAUAAGCUGGCACCUUGACGGUACCUAACCAGAAAGCCACGGCUAACUACGUGCCAGCAGCCGCGGUAAUACGUAGGUGGCAAGCGUUAUCCGGAAUUAUUGGGCGUAAAGCGCGCGCAGGUGGUUUCUUAAGUCUGAUGUGAAAGCCCACGGCUCAACCGUGGAGGG
rnacentral:rRNA from 1 species